rnacentral:rRNA from 1 species
CAAGCCCUGGAAACGGGGUCUAAUACCGGAUAUGACAUACGGCCGCAUGGUCUGUAUGUGGAAAGCUCCGGCGGUGCAGGAUGAGCCCGCGGCCUAUCAGCUUGUUGGUGGGGUGAUGGCCUACCAAGGCGACGACGGGUAGCCGGCCUGAGAGGGCGACCGGCCACACUGGGACUGAGACACGGCCCAGACUCCUACGGGAGGCAGCAGUGGGGAAUAUUGCACAAUGGGCGAAAGCCUGAUGCAGCGACGCCGCGUGAGGGAUGACGGCCUUCGGGUUGUAAACCUCUUUCAGCAGGGAAGAAGCGCAAGUGACGGUACCUGCAGAAGAAGCACCGGCUAACUACGUGCCAGCAGCCGCGGUAAUACGUAGGGUGCGAGCGUUGUCCGGAAUUAUUGGGCGUAAAGAGCUCGUAGGCGGCUUGUCACGUCGGAUGUGAAAGCCCGGGGCUUAACCCCGGGUCUGCAUUCGAUACGGGCAGGCUAGAGUUCGGUAGGGGAGAUCGGAAUUCCUGGUG